rnacentral:rRNA from 1 species
GUGGCAGUGGGGCAGCUACACAUGCAGUCGUACGAGAAUGAGUCUCUAAUCGGGAACUGGAGAGUGGCGCACGGGUGAGUAACGCGUGGGGACCUACCUCUUAGUGGGGGAUAACGGUUGGAAACGACCGCUAAUACCGCAUACGCCCUUCGGGGGAAAGAUUUAUCGCUAAGAGAUGGACCCGCGUUGGAUUAGAUAGUUGGUGAGGUAACGGCUCACCAAGUCAGCGAUCCAUAGCUGGUUUGAGAGGAUGAUCAGCCACACUGGGACUGAGACACGGCCCAGACUCCUACGGGAGGCAGCAGUGGGGAAUAUUGGACAAUGGGCGGAAGCCUGAUCCAGCCAUGCCGCGUGAGUGAAGAAGGCCUUCGGGUUGUAAAGCUCUUUCAGAUGCGAAGAUGAUGACGGUAACAUCAGAAGAAGCCCCGGCUAAUUUCGUGCCAGCAGCCGCGGUAAUACGAAAGGGGCAAGCGUUGUUCGGAUUUACUGGGCGUAAAGGGCACGCAGGCGGUCUUGCCAGUCAGGGGUGAAAGCCCGGGGCUCAACCCCGGAACUGCCUCUGAUACUGCAGGACUAGAGACUAGGAGAGGGUGGUGGAAUUCCCAGUGUAGAGGUGAAAUUCGUAGAUAUUGGGAGGAACACCAGAGGCGAAGGCGGCCACCUGGACUAGAUCUGACGCUCAGGUGCGAAAGCGUGGGGAGCAAACAGGAUUAGAUACCCUGGUAGUCCACGCCGUAAACGAUGAGUGCUAGUUGUCGGGAUUUCGAUUUCGGUGACGCAGCUAACGCAUUAAGCACUCCGCCUGGGGAGUACGGUCGCAAGAUUAAAACUCAAAGGAAUUGACGGGGCCCGCACAAGCGGUGGAGCAUGGUGGUUUAAUUCGAGCACGCGCAGAACCUUACCACCCUUGACAUCCCUUAUCGCGAUUUCCAGAGAAUGAUAUUCAAUCAGUUCGCUGAUAGUUGACAGGUGGCUGCAUGCUGUCGUCACCUCUGUCUGGAAAGUUGGGUUAGUCCCGCCACAGAGCCCACCCGUUCUAGUUGCAGCAUUCAAUUGGCACCUCUGAGGAACUGCGGUGUGACACCCGAGAGAAGCGGAAUAGACCUAAGUCUCUAUGCCAUAACGGGUGGCCCACACGGUUCCCAUGUACUCAGCCGCAUACGAUGUGACAUCGAAG